rnacentral:misc_RNA from 1 species
CCAAACUUGGUCAUUUAGAGGAAGUAAAAGUCGUAACAAGGUUUCCGUAGGUGAACCUGCGGAAGGAUCAUUACUGAGUUUUGAUGGGUCUUCAUUGACCCAACACCUCUCACCCUUGCAGAGAAUUCCUUCAAUGUUAGACCUGUGGGCCUUGAAGUUCUUUGGUAUCAAGGAACUUUUAUGUCUGCGGUCUUUCACCCUCAAACUCUUUUGUGGUAAUGUUUUAGUCAGAAAAUCUAUAUUUUUAAUAUAAAUUAAAACUUUCAACAACGGAUCUCUUGGUUCUGGCAUCGAUGAAGAACGCAGC